GCCUUGAGGGGAGGCGAGGAACCCCCGAUCUCCCAGAUGGGCGCCAAGGAGCGGGGGGGAGCCAGUGGCGCAACCGGCCCCUAAUCCU
rnacentral:ncRNA from 1 species